GACGAACGCUGGCGGCGUGCCUAAUACAUGCAAGUAGAACGCUGAAGGAGGAGCUUGCUCUUCUGGAUGAGUUGCGAACGGGUGAGUAACGCGUAGGUAACCUGCCUGGUAGCGGGGGAUAACUAUUGGAAACGAUAGCUAAUACCGCAUAACAGUAGAUGUUGCAUGACAUUUGCUUAAAAGGUGCAAUUGCAUCACUACCAGAUGGACCUGCGUUGUAUUAGCUAGUUGGUGGGGUAACGGCUCACCAAGGCGACGAUACAUAGCCGACCUGAGAGGGUGAUCGGCCACACUGGGACUGAGACACGGCCCAGACUCCUACGGGAGGCAGCAGUAGGGAAUCUUCGGCAAUGGACGGAAGUCUGACCGAGCAACGCCGCGUGAGUGAAGAAGGGUUUCGGAUCGUAAAGCUCUGUUGUAAGAGAAGAACGAGUGUGAGAGUGGAAAGUUCACACUGUGACGGUAGCUUAACAGAAAGGGACGGCUAACUACGUG
rnacentral:rRNA from 1 species